rnacentral:rRNA from 1 species
UACGUAGGGGGCUAGCGUUGUCCGGAAUCAUUGGGCGUAAAGCGCGUGUAGGCGGCCCGGUAAGUCCGCUGUGAAAGUCGGGGGCUCAACCCUGGAAUGCCGGUGGAAACUGUCAGGCUCGAGUCCGGAAGAGGCGAGUGGAAUUCCUGGUGUAGCGGUGAAAUGCGCAGAUAUCAGGAGGAACACCAAUGGCGAAGGCAGCUCGCUGGGACGGUACUGACGCUGAGGAGCGAAAGCGUGGGGAGCAAACAGG